GGCCGUCUCCCCACCUGGACUGUUCGAUCUGAUGAUUUUUAUCAGCGUAGGUGCUGGUAACCACGAGCCCUCCAGGCAAAAACAGGAAAUGCAUGCUUAUUGGGCAGAGUUGUCUGGUUCUGCUCCUUCCCUGCUGCCAUUCCAGAAGAGGGCCGGCCUCCUGUGCAUAGAUGAUAGGGAGACAUGAGAGAUCAAUCAACACAUGUAAGAUGAACAUUGGGUUCCAAGACAGCCGAAUAGAAACAGCUCCAGUCUACAGCUCCCAGCAUGAGCGACGCAGAAGACGGGUGAUUUCUGCAUUUCCAACUGAGAGCCCUAUCCUCCGAUACCUGGGAAUGAGACCUCGCUGGAACACGGGGCUGCUGCAGAUGUAGUCAAGAUGAACUCGUACCAGAGAACCCGGGGACCUGAACCCAGUGACUGGCGUCCUUUUGAAAAGACGGAAGGCAGAGAUGCAGAGGCCAAGGCCAUGAGAGGCCGAGGCAGAGGCCUGGCCAGGGGUCUGUGGGAUCCCCAGCCACAAGGCGGCUGAAGACAUCCUGGAGGAAGCAUUCUCCCCAGGCUGCAGAGGGAGCAGGGCGCGCCCAAGCCCUACCUUGGACUGCAGGCUUCUGAACCCUGUAGUUGAAGGCUGUAGUUUGCAGCUCUUUGUUACAGCAGCCACAGGGAAUGCGCCUCCAGCCUGUCUGGAAGUCAGUUCUUCCCACAGGGUGUUCAAGGUCAGGUGGGCUGCUCCCAGAGGAGCAGGUGCGGGCAGAGACCACAGGCUGCUGGAGGGAAGGGGAUCCCCAGCCUUUGCUGAGGCUCUGUCCCACUUCUGUUUGUCGUAUUUUAGCCAUUUGGGGUGCACCUAACCACUGAGCUUAUUCUUUCUCUAGCUUCCUACCUCCACCACCCAGACCGUCCCGCUGUGCAGCAGCCAGGCAGCGCCUCUCUUCGGGGCCUCUCCCCCAGUCCCCCUGCUGAGCUCUGGACACUCUGGGAUGGACACCCCGCUCAGAUCAGGCAGGGUCUGGGUCAGGCAGGGGCCAGGGGCUUAGCCGGCAGUGGCCUGAGCCCAGGCAGCUCGCUGAGGAGGGACGGCAGGGAGAGACUUGGGUGUCCACCCUGCCUCAUGGGCUGCUGACCCUCCCCACACUCCAUCCUGCCCUUCUGCCCUCCUGCCCUGGCUGCCACCUUGUCCCCUGGACUGGCUCUCAGAACAGCCGAGCACAUGGGGGAUGGCCCAGAGGGGUCCCGGCCCCCGACCAGGUAGGCAUCUCUGGGUCAGCUGUGCCCCAGGGGGAUGGGUUGAGUCUCAGACCGGCCAGUGCCCCAGGGACCCCUUUCCUUUCACUUACAGGAGAGUUCCUCUGUCUCACUGCCUGGGGGAAAAACCAGCUGAGCCUGUCAUGCAGAUUUUCUAGGGAGCUGGGCCUGCAGGAGGCCUGGCUUUUGCCCUCUGCUCCUGGGAGGUGACCUCUCCGCGGGCCCUCAGAAUCUCUUGACUGAUAAGAGCGUCUUUCUUUACCUGGGGCCGUGGGCCACCCUGGAGAGCCGAUGCUUACAGUGUGACUUGUGGUGGGGCCCAGCCUCAGGCGGACCUGCAGGCACCUGCAGCACCGGAUCCCCAGAGUCCGAGCCCGCCCCACCCCCCACGCCCUCCGUGGGGCUGGUGCGGCCUCCCAGGUGCUGGUCCCCCAGCACUUACCACUAAGCCGCCGCACCUGCUUCCUUCUUAUUCACCCUGGCCCUGCCUCUGCCUCUCCACACCACCAGGCUUGAGUUAACUCACACCUCCUUCCUCUGUAUCGUCUCUGCAGUAUUUCUCAAAUGUACUAAAAAAUCGU